rnacentral:rRNA from 1 species
UACGAAGGGGGCUAGCGUUGCUCGGAAUCACUGGGCGUAAAGCGCACGUAGGCGGAUCUUUAAGUCAGGGGUGAAAUCCUGGAGCUCAACUCCAGAACUGCCUUUGAUACUGGGGAUCUCGAGUCCGGAAGAGGUGAGUGGAACUCCGAGUGUAGAGGUGAAAUUCGUAGAUAUUCGCAAGAACACCAGUGGCGAAGGCGGCUCACUGGCCCGGUACUGACGCUGAGGUGCGAAAGCGUGGGGAGCAAACAGGG